UACGAAGGUCCCAAGCGUUAUCCGGAUUUAUUGGGUUAAAGGGUGCGUAGGCGGGUUAUUAAGUCAGUGGUGAAAGCCUUCAGCUUAACUGAAGAACUGCCAUUGAUACUGAUGAUCUUGAGUAUGAUUGAGGUUGGCGGAAUGUGUCAUGUAGCGGUGAAAUGCGCAGAUAUCUGGAGGAACACCGGUGGCGAAGGCGGCACUCUGGGCCGGUACUGACGCUGAGGCGCGAAAGCGUGGGUAGCAAACAGG
rnacentral:rRNA from 1 species